GUACAGUGGACACAGGUGGUGCAUGGUUGUCGUCAGCUCGUGUCGUGAGAUGUUGGGUUAAGUCCCGCAACGAGCGCAACCCUUGUCUUUAGUUGCCAGCAUUAAGUUGGGCACUCUAGAGAGACUGCCGAUGACAAAUCGGAGGAAGGUGGGGAUGACGUCAAAUCAUCAUGCCCUUUAUGUCCUGGGCUACACACGUGCUACAAUGGUCGGUACAACGAGAAGCAAGCUAGCGAUAGCAAGCAAAUCUCUAAAAGCCGUUCCCAGUUGGGAUUGCAGGUUGCAAUUCGCCUGCAUAAAGUCGGAUUUGCUAGUAUUCGCGAAUCAGAAUGGCGCGGUUAAUGGGUUCCCGGUUCUUGUACACACCCCCCGCCACACAAUGGGAUUUGUAAAUACCCGAAGCCAGUGA
rnacentral:rRNA from 1 species